rnacentral:rRNA from 1 species
UACGAAGGGUGCAAGCGUUAAUCGGAAUUACUGGGCGUAAAGCGCGCGUAGGUGGUUCAGUAAGUUGGAAGUGAAAUCCCCGGGCUCAACCUGGGAACUGCUUUCAAAACUGCUGAGCCAGAGUACGGUAGAGGGUGGUGGAAUUUCCUGUGUAGCGGUGAAAUGCGUAGAUAUAGGAAGGAACACCAGUGGCGAAGGCGACCACCUGGACUGAUACUGACACUGAGGUGCGAAAGCGUGGGGAGCAAACAGG